UACGGGGGGGGCAAGCGUUGUUCGGAAUUACUGGGCGUAAAGGGAGCGUAGGCGGAUAGUUUAGUCAGAGGUGAAAGCCCAGGGCUCAACCCUGGAAUUGCCUUUGAUACUGGCUAUCUUGAGUAUGGGAGAGGUUAGCGGAACUCCGAGUGUAGAGGUGAAAUUCGUAGAUAUUCGGAAGAACACCAGUGGCGAAGGCGGCUAACUGGCCCAUUACUGACGCUGAGGCUCGAAAGCGUGGGGAGCAAACAGG
rnacentral:rRNA from 1 species